rnacentral:rRNA from 1 species
GGCCUUUUGAAUUUAAUAUAAGGUCUGACCUGCCCAGUGAUAAUUUUAACGGCCGCGGUAUAUUGACCGUGCAAAGGUAGCAUAAUCAUUAGUCUUUUAAUAGAGGGCUGGAAUGAAAGGUUUAACGAGGAACUGACUGUCUCAUUUUAUUUGUUUUAAAAUUUAAUUUUUUAGUUAAAAAGCUAAAAUUUUAUUGGUAGACGAGAAGACCCUAUAGAGCUUUACAUUUAAUUAUAUAAAUGUUUUUAUAUUAAUAUUUUUAUUCAAUUAUGUGUUUUGUUGGGGUGACAAAAAUAUAUAAUUAACUUUUUUAUUUAAUUAACCAUUGAUUUAUGAUUAUUAGAUCCAUUAUUAUUGAUUAUUAGAUUAAGUUACCUUAGGGAUAACAGCGUAAUCCUCCUCCAGAGUUCAUAUUUACAGGAUGGGCUUGCGACCUCGAUGUUGGAUUAAGAUAAUAAUUAGGUGUAGCCGCUUAAUUAAUAGGUCUGUUCGACCUUUAAAUUCUU